rnacentral:rRNA from 1 species
UACGUAGGGACCAAGCGUUGUUCGGAUUUACUGGGCGUAAAGGGCGCGUAGGCGGGAUGGCAAGUCGGUCGUGAAAUCCCUCGGCUCAACCGAGGAACGUCGAUCGAUACUGCUGUUCUUGAGGAUUGCAGAGGAGACUGGAAUUCCCGGUGUAGCGGUGAAAUGUGUAGAGAUCGGGAGGAACACCGGUGGCGAAGGCGGGUCUCUGGGCAAUUCCUGACGGCUGAGGCGCGAAAGCGU